rnacentral:rRNA from 1 species
ACGCUCGACACCUACGGGUGGCAGCAGUAGGGAAUCUUCCACAAUGGGCGCAAGCCUGAUGGAGCAACACCGCGUGAGUGAAGAAGGGUUUCGGCUCGUAAAGCUCUGUUGUUGGAGAAGAACGUGCGUGAGAGUAACUGUUCACGCAGUGACGGUAUCCAACCAGAAAGUCACGGCUAACUACGUGCCCGCAGCCGCGGUAAUCUGAGCGGGCUGGCAAGGC